CCUUAGCAGAGCUGUGGAGUGUGACAAUGGUGUUUGUGUCCAAUCUAUCAAACGCCAUUAUCACACUAAAUAGCUACUGUUAGGC
rnacentral:pre_miRNA from 1 species